UACGUAGGUGGCGAGCGUUGUCCGGAUUUACUGGGCGUAAAGGGUGCGCAGGCGGCCAAGUGUGUGAGGCGUGAAAGCCCGGGGCUUAACCCCGGAAUUGCACCUCAAACUACAUGGCUAGAGCAUUGGAGAGGGUAGCGGAAUUCACGGUGUAGCAGUGAAAUGCGUAGAUAUCGUGAGGAACACCAGAGGCGAAGGCGGCUACCUGGACAAUUGCUGACGCUCAGGCACGAAAGCGUGGGGAGCAAAAGGG
rnacentral:rRNA from 1 species